rnacentral:rRNA from 1 species
UACAGAGGUCUCAAGCGUUGUUCGGAUUCAUUGGGCGUAAAGGGUGUGUAGGUGGCGCCGUAAGUCGGGGUGUGAAAAUUCGGAGCUUAACUCCGAAACUGCAUUCGAUACUGCGGUGCUUGAGGACUGGAGAGGAGACUGGAAUUCAUGGUGUAGCAGUGAAAUGCGUAGAGAUCAUGAGGAAGACCAGUGGCGAAGGCGGGUCUCUGGACAGUUCCUGA